GACGAACGCUGGCGGCGUGCUUAACACAUGCAAGUCGAACGGAAAGACCCUGCUUUUGUGGGGUGCUCGAGUGGCGAACGGGUGAGUAACACGUGAGUAACCUGCCCUUGACUUUGGGAUAACUUCAGGAAACUGGGGCUAAUACCGGAUAGGAGCUCCUGCUGCAUGGUGGGGGUUGGAAAGUUUCGGCGGUUGGGGAUGGACUCGCGGCUUAUCAGCUUGUUGGUGGGGUAGUGGCUUACCAAGGCUUUGACGGGUAGCCGGCCUGAGAGGGUGACCGGCCACAUUGGGACUGAGAUACGGCCCAGACUCCUACGGGAGGCAGCAGUGGGGAAUAUUGCACAAUGGGCGGAAGCCUGAUGCAGCAACGCCGCGUGCGGGAUGACGGCCUUCGGGUUGUAAACCGCUUUCGCCUGUGACGAAGCGUGAGUGAUGGUAAUGGGUAAAGAAGCACCGGCUAACUACGUG
rnacentral:rRNA from 1 species